rnacentral:rRNA from 1 species
AGCAGGCGCGUAAAUUGCCCGAAUCCUGACACAGGGAGGUAGUGACAAGAAAUAACAAUACAGGGCUACUUCUAGUCUUGUAAUUGGAAUGAGUACAACUUACAUCUCUUCACGAGGAUCAAUUGGAGGGCAAGUCUGGUGCCAGCAGCCGCGGUAAUUCCAGCUCCAAAAGCGUAUAUUAAAGUUGUUGCAGUUAAAACGCUCGUAGUCGGGUUUCGGGUCGGGCCGAGCGGUCUGCCGAUGGGUAUGCACUGUUUGGCGCGGCCUUCUUUCCGGGGACCGCGGCUACUCUUAACUGAGCGGGCGUGGGAGACGGAUCGUUUACUUUGAAAAAACCAGAGUGUUUCAAGCAGGCAGCUCGCUCUUGCAUGGUACAGCAUGGGAUGAUUAAAUAGGACUCCGGUGCUAUUUUGUUGGUUUCGAACACCAGGAGUAAUGAUUAACAAGGACAGUCAGGGGCACUCGUAUUCCGUCGAGAGAGGUGAAAUUCUCAGACCAAUGGAAGACGAACCACUGCGAAAGCAUUUGCCAGGGAUGUUUUCACUGAUCAAGAACGAAAGUUAGGGGAUCGAAGACGAUCAGAUACCGUCGUAGUCUUAACCAUAAACCAUGCCGACUAGGGAUUGGAGGGUGUUCGUUUCGACCUCUUCAGCACCUUACGGGAAACUAAAGUCUUUGGGUUCCGGGGGGAGUAUGGUCGCAAGGCUGAAACUUAAAGGAAUUGACGGAAGGGCACCACCAGGAGUGGAGCCUGCGGCUUAAUUUGACUCAACACGGGGAAACUUACCAGGUCCAGACAUUGUUAGGAUUGACAGAUUGAGAGCUCUUUCUUGAUUCGAUGGGUGGUGGUGCAUGGCCGUUCUUAGUUGGUGGAGUGAUUUGUCUGGGUUAAUUCCGAUAACGAACGAGACCGUAGCCUGCUAAAUAGUCCCGCGAACUUCUUGUUGGCGGGCCGACUUCUUAGAGGGACAACUUGUGACCAACAAGUGGAAGUUUGCGGCAAUAACAGGUCUGUGAUGCCCUUAGAUGUUCUGGGCCGCACGCGCGCUACACUGAAGCACUCAACGAGUCCACCUCGACCGACAGGUCUGGGAAACCUUUUGAAAUUGCUUCGUGAUGGGGAUAGAUUAUUGCAACUAUUAAUCUUCAACGAGGAAUUCCUAGUAAGCGCAUGUCAUCAGCGCACGUUGA